AAGAAGCUAUUUGAAUAUUGAAAUUUAUGUUUAUUCUAUAUUUUUAUAAGCUAACAAGCUAUAUUUUAAGCUAUAAUAAAUUCUAAGAGAAAGGAUUUAUUAAGCUCUAAACUUAUAAGAGGAUAGAAAUAUGGAUAAAAUAUUUUACGAACCGAAUCCUUGACGAUGACACCAGCGAUUAACGGUGCGAGAAUGCCACAAGCGGACGCGAUGGCAUUCGUGAAUCCCAUAAGUGUGCCGGCAAAGUUUGGACUGAGGUCCAUAUGAUUGACGUUGUGGCCGCAGAAAGAGGCGAUGUUACUGGAUACGGCGAUGACGAGGAUACUCACAGCUAAUUUCGGCUGGUCCUGUGUCGUGUAUCCCAAUCCGAUCAGCGCGAUUGCCGGUGUCCACUGGCCGAUCGUGUUGCAGAUCUUCCGUGACCUCUCCGUCGUCACGUAGUUUUUCCGGAUGCAAAGAUCAGAGAUGUAGCUGAUGAGGAAGCUGACGAUCCAUGCCGUCAAAUAUGUCAUUGAUUUGCUUAGUGACAACGGCAUUGGAACUAAUAUCCACGACGACCGUGAUGAUCCACUGACCAGAGCCUUGGAUUGACCCGAGUUUGGCAUAUUAAUCAUUCUUCCAUCGUAUCCUGGGAUGCUCAGAGGGUGAAUCCUUUCCUAAUAUGUAGAAAGCGGUACCGCUUAUGAUGCUGAAAGUUCCCCAAACGAAAAAACAACUAGGCCAGCCGAUGGACGAUGCUGCGAGAAAGCCAGUACUUAGCAAACAUACUACGUUUCCAAUCCAGCCUCCGGAAUAAACAAAUGUUGCUGGAAAAAUAAGAAAAUCACUGACCAAGUCUGCCACGCUCCUCCGGUGGUGACCACUUGGAUAAUAGGGUGUGAAGAGAGGGUAGAGCGGCACCCUGAGCGAGGCCACAGAUCACCCUGGUAGCGAUCAUCGCCUGCCAGCCUCCGUAACGAGCAGCGAUCGGGCUGCAGAGAGUCAACACACCGGAGAUGAUAAGAGUCAUCGAGAAUAGUCCUUGAGCACUCCAUCGUUGAGCGAGGAUGCUGGCAGGUAUUUGCGUACAAGUGUAGCCCCAGAAGAAGGAACUAAGAAUCAUGUGUUUGACUGGUUCGCUCCAGUCAAACUCCUUCAAAGAGAUCCGUACGUUUAUUAGAAUUCGUGCUGUAAAGGUAAUUAUAACGUUAUUAUUAUACGCACCUCGAAGUCGGGAUUAGCGCUGGCCGCAUUGGUCAUCGCCUCCAGGGUCACCGAGGUCGUCACCCGGACGGCGUAGCAGCAAAAGAAACCGAAGCACAUGAGUAUCACCUGCGUGUGUCUGCAUCCAUACCAUGCUGCAAGAAUUUACAAUAUAAUUAUAUGGUUUAUUCGGUGAAGUCUUCAUUUUCUCUGAGAGGGAGACGAUGGAAACUCUCUUUUUUCGCACAGACGACGCCAUUGCGAUGAAUCUUUCGUCAGGAAACAGACACGGGAACAAAUUACAGAAACGACUACGAUCCAUCGAUCAUACCCACGUAGUUUUAUACUGCAUCACCGAAAACAGAUUCUCCCACUCUUUUGCGCGCUUAAACGCACGCUUGAACAACGCUGUACAUCACGUUGUUGCAUUAUCCUCGAGCAUUGGAAUCACUACGAUAUAACAGGAUAUUAGACUGAUUGUCCAAUUGAAAAAGGAGAUAACAGCACUACAGUGUAACAGAAAAUGAAAAGAUCAUACUUCAUAAUAAAGGAAUAAUAUGUACAGCAACACUUAUACCAGCAAUUACGACAAACAGAUUUCGUAAUCCAUCGCAAUUUCGAGAUCUUAGAAGAUUCAUUUAAAAUUAAGUCAAAUUUAAUACAGAAAAUCAGUUCUGUUAAUUCUAUGUGUGUAUAACUUCAAACUCAAAGUCUGAUUUAAACACACAAUCCCAUAGGUGAUUUCCGUUUCGUUUUUGCCGUCGAGUUUGGAUCUCCUCAGAAUCGUUCCACCAUUGCACUUCGCCCUUGCCGAAUAUCACGAAUAUCAGAUUACCCACAAAGAAGAUCGCCGCCGAGACAUAGAACACGAUAUUCCACUGAUAUACGUUGGUCUAAAAAAACGGAAGAUCUCCCGAUAAUGAUUUUUUUCGUCGAUUUCAAAAUAACUAAAUAAUGUGUAGGACUGAAAGCAUUUAUGUAAGACGAAACUUGGUAUUUGCGUAUAAUAUUCUUGAGUACAAAUGAGAAGGAAUAUUUACCUCAUCGGUGACGAUCUGACUGCAUAUCAGCGGCGCGAGAAUGGCUGUAACAGUCGCAGCGCAAUUGGUGAUGGACAUCAUCGUGCCGGCAAAAUUCGGACUGAGAUCGAUAUGAUUGAUCUGAUAACCGCAUAGAGAUCCAGCGUUCAGACCCACCGCUACGGUAAGGAGAACGACGGCCCAGGUGUGAUUGUCAGUAGGUACGACACUCAUACACGCCAGGGCGAUGGCCGGGCCCCAAUGGGCUAUUGUAUUGCAAAUCUUUCUGACUGUGCCUCUGGAUGCGCCCUUCUUCAGCGCGAAAUCGGACAACCAGCUGACGGGAAAACUGAGAAGCCACAUGGCCAAGUAUGGCAGCGCGGAAAAUACACCGCUCUGUGAAAAAGAAAAGGUACGCGUUAAUUAAUUAAUUAUAAGAAUUAUCCCAGCAAACACCGAUAUAUAAUUG